AUUCCCAAGCCGGUGGGAAGAGCCUUUGCCAUGGUGGCCAAAAGAUCCGACGGGAAUUCCUUGGCCUCGGAAUGCGUCAAAUCCAAGGAUGGAGACGAGGAGAUCAUCAAGGUUUAUCUCAAGGCUCGCUCCGACCACGAGGAGCCGGUGACGCAGCUCAAGAGCGAAGUGCGGCACAUCCAGGAGGCUGGGAGCGUCCUCAAAAAACUCC